UACAUUUUAGUGUAUAGUGCACAAGAUUUUUUGAUAUUCUUGGAUUUAGUUAAAUUCUAAUAAAUGUAG
rnacentral:tRNA from 1 species